UCUCUGACUUCUCUCUCUCACCCUCUUUUCUUUCUCUCGUUAGUCGUGAUCUCUCUCCUUAUCUUUUUUCUUUCUUCUCUGACUCUAGCUAUUCUUUCUUGAAAAGAGGAUGGAACAAUUAGAAAUUCAGAGCUCUCUCCCUUCUCCCUUCCCUCUAUUUUUUCCUCUCUCGCUCCGGUUCAGCUGCUCUGGCCCCUGCCCUUCCGUCGCGGCGUCACUCACCAGUCGGCAAUCGCCUCCGCGCUUCGCCUCUCGCCCGCUGCCCGCCUCCGCAGUGCGCCGUUCGCCCCUCGCCCGCCGGCCGCCUUCACCGUCCGUGGCACGACCCUCGUUCCCUGGCUGCGCCACUGCUCUCUACAGCUCUGUUGACUGCUCUAGUGCUCUGCCAAAGCCAAACGAAGACAGAUGAGGACUGAAGAAAAGCCGAGAAGAUUAGAUUAGUCGUUUCUUUUGGGUCAUCCUGAGCGGCAGAGAGAAUCAGAGAAAUGGAGUUUGUUUAAUUCAAUCCGAACAUAUCCGAAUAUCCGAUUAAAUUCGUCCGAACCCGAAGUUAUAAUAUCCGAUGAUUUUACUAAAUUAAUUUAUACGGAUUGGGUUAUUAAAAUGCAAACCGAACUCCGAACGGGUUGGGGGUUUCAAUAUCCGAACCGCCCGAACCUGUCCGAUGCACAGGCCUACCUACACAAGAAGUUAAACAAAUGAUUAAUGUUGCAGUUGUUGAGGCAUUAGCCAGUCAAAAAGGGAAAUGCAAGAGGAGUUUUCUAAAUAAAUUCAAGCAAGCAUGAAUGAGAUGAGGAAGCAAUUUAGUUUGAUGCAGACUCUUAUUUCUCAAGCUGCACAAUCAAAGCGGGAGGAUGACAUAUAUGUAGAUGUCGAGCCACAAUCUUACAGUGAAAAAGCUAGUUCUCUAGACCCUUUUGCUGAUUUACCGGCCAUAAGUAAUUGCUUAUAGUUAAUCUUAUUAUUAUUUAUUAAAAACAUUUUAGUUGAUUUUUAAAUAUGAAUUCAUGCAGUUAGGAGCACGAUGCCAUUUGUGUUUGGAAGAUCCCGUUAGACGUACAGUGGCAUUUGGGACAACUUACUGGGGUGAAAAGGAUCACGGGGUAGAAUUAAAUGUAAAUCAAGUGAAGGUGAGCGUGGAUAAGAUUAUUGAUCCAAGUGCAAAGGUAUCAUUCCCUACCGAUGAGGUUUAGUUUUAGGUGCUGCAAUACAUCACUUUAUUAUUUGGCCAAAGAAGCUAGUUGAGUUAUGUACUCAAACUGAUGAGUUAAAAAGAAAGUCCAAAUUGACUUAUGAAUUCGCUGUGCAACAAUCUUCUGUGGAUUUGACUAUAGCUGGUCCAACUUCUUUGAGUCCUUUAUGUCAAAAGGCAUAUAAAGUUGUUCGCAAUCUAAAACAAAAUCUUGUGAUGGAUAUGUCUCGUGGUAUUGUGAGCGACAUUGAAUAUGAGUUACAUCUUGAGAA